rnacentral:ncRNA from 2 species
CCGCCGCAUCAAGAGUUGGGCUGGCGCCCAACGCCAACCUGCCCUCCCGGGCAAGGUGGCGGCCUCCGCGAGGGGGGAUGUGGCCGCGACCGGCAACCAAACGGGACCAC